UGUCAGUGAGGGGCAGGGAGCCGGGGGGAUACGGGGGGGGGGAGGGGUGUGCGGGAUCACUGGGGGUAAAGGGUGCGUAGGCGGGGCGGAAAGUCGUGGGUGAAAGCUCAGGGCUGAACUGUGAGUCGGACGGGGAUACUGUCGCGCUCGAGCUAACGAGAGGCAGAUGGAAUUCCGGGUGUAGCGGUGGAAUGCGUAGAGAUCCGGAAGAACACCGGUGGCGAAGGCGGUCUGCUGGGGUGAGGCUGACGCUGAUGCGCGACAGCGUGGGGAGCAAACAGGAUUAGAUACCCGGGUAGUC
rnacentral:rRNA from 1 species